CAGGUAUCAUUUCUCAAUGCUCUGCUUUGGUAUUUACUGUGUGCAGCACACCACAUGCAUUGUUUGCUUAAUAGAUAUUUCAUGAAUGGAUGAAAAACUGAAAUGGCAGAAGAGCUGGAAAAGAUCUCCUUAAAGAACUUAGCUCUUGAAUAUUUUAGACACAUCAGGUAAAACUUUUGGAGAAAAUGGCCAUGCCCAGAGGUGUUCCUAUCUGGCAUCUUCGUGGCACAAGCUGAGUACAUUUGAAAGUAUACCUUUUUGCUGUCUUAACCUUGGAAAUGCGCCCAAUGACCUUGAGCUAAGCUUGCCUGAUAAUGUGUCUGCUAGUUUUCCAUCUAGAACCUUGAUCUUUAACUGAACAUGCUCAGGAAUGUACUCUGAGAUAUUUUCUCACACGAAUACGUACAGGCUCUACAAACAAACCCUGUAUGUUUCCUUUUCCCAAGGGCAUUGCUUUGGAUAUCACUCUUGGGCUCUCCUCACCUGCAGCAGGUAAUAAAUAUUUCUCUGCUCUUUU